rnacentral:lncRNA from 1 species
AUGGGGCCCGCUCCGGAGCUGCCUCUGCGCCGCUGCCCCCCCUUCCCAGGGCAGGAUGGCAGAGGUCACCCCACCAACCCCAACCCCUCCGAGCUCCCGAGGCCACCCGCCUCCCCCGGAGUCGCAGGUGCAGGUGCAGGUGCGGAGGCCCCAGCCCCCAGCGCGCCCUCCCAGCCCCGCGUCGCCUCAGCAGGCCUUGGUGACCCGCACACCCCCCCUCGUAGAGUGACCCUUGCCGUCACUCGCCAGGACCUGCCCAGUGCGGGAGCCCGUGGGUUACCUGACCUAAGCCCCCGCUGCCCUGCAGGUCGCGUCACUGUCCCGUUCAUCGCCGACAGUGCCAGGGCCGUGGAGAGGCUGAGGGCCCCUGCCCGGGUCACAGCCAGCGGGUCACAGCCAGUGAGUGAGGCCGGACGACCCGCCCGGUGCCCUUGGCCUCCGUGGGGCCACCACGCCCGCCCCGCCCGGCCCGGCCCGGAGCAGCCUGGGCUGACGUCACAGGGCGGGGCGAUGCCCCUGUCUGCCCCGGCCCCCAGAGGGCCCCCAGAGGGCCCCCAGAGGUCGGAGCGGCAACGUCCUGCCGCCCGAGGGCGCCUCCCAGCCCUCCUGUGGGAACUGUCCCUGCCCGGACUAGGGGCCUGCAGCCGGCUGUGUGGGGGCAGGUGGCUCCGGCUCCAACUCAGCCUCCCUCCCCUUCCCGAGCCUUCUGGGCCCCCCACCCCCAGGGGCCCACAGCCUGGGGUCACUUGCCUGGGAGACAGCGGGCUUCCGGCCUCCGUUGGGGUCAGGCCUGCGUGGACCAAGGAAUUCCUCCCCCUUCUCGUCCGGCCCGGCCCCUGGCCGCUCCUCCCUGCUGGUGUCAGCCCGUCCCACAUCUGCCUCCACCUGGCCCGCCCCCCGGGGAGCGCCCCCCCACCGGUGCACCCGCGGCCUCGGCCCCCAUCCCUGUGGGUCCAGACCGUGUCCCUCCAUCGAGGCCCGGCUCGAGGCCCCGUCGGCGCCCCGCGUCCGGCAGGCAUCCUCACCUGGCCCCAGCUCCCGGUGGGCGUCCCGCCGCGGCCUCCCCGGGCCUGGGGCCUCUGGGGUGAGGUCAAGGCCCCGAGCGCCUAG